UACGGGGGGGGCAAGCGUUGUUCGGAAUUACUGGGCGUAAAGGGUCUGUAGGUGGCCAACUAAGUCAGACGUGAAAUCCCUCAGCUUAACUGGGGAACUGCGUCUGAGACUGGAUGGCUCGAGUGCAGGAGAGGAACGCGGAAUUCCAGGUGUAGCGGUGAAAUGCGUAGAUAUCUGGAGGAACACCGGUGGCGAAGGCGGCGUUCUGGACUGCAACUGACACUGAGAGACGAAAGCCAGGGGAGCAAACGGG
rnacentral:rRNA from 1 species